UACGGGGGGGGCAAGCGUUGUUCGGAAUUACUGGGCGUAAAGGGCUCGUAGGCGGCCAACUAAGUCAGACGUGAAAUCCCUCGGCUUAACCGGGGAACUGCGUCUGAUACUGGAUGGCUUGAGUUUGGGAGAGGGAUGCGGAAUUCCAGGUGUAGUGGUGAAAUGCGUAGAUAUCUGGAGGAACACCGGUGGCGAAGGCGGCAUCCUGGACCAACACUGACGCUGAGUGAGCGAAAGCCAGGGGAGCAAACGGG
rnacentral:rRNA from 1 species